rnacentral:rRNA from 1 species
AUUGAACGCUGGCGGCAGGCCUAACACAUGCAAGUCGAACGAGUGGCGGACGGGUGAGUAAUGUCUGGGCAACUGCCUGAUGGAGGGGGAUAACUACUGGAACCGGUAGCUAAUCACGCAUAACAUCCGUUUUGCCCAGAUGGGAUUAGCUUGUUGGUGGGGUAACGGCGCACCAAGGCGACGAUCCCUAGCUGGUCUGAGAGGCUGACCAGCCACACUGGAACUGAGACACGGUCCAGACUCCUACGGGAGGCAGCAGUGGGGAAUAUUGCGCAAUGGGCGCAAGCCUGAUGCAGCCAUGCCGCGUGUAUGAAGAAGGCCUUCGGGUUGUAAAGUACUUUCAGUGGAGAAGCGUUACCCGCAGAAGAAGCACCGGCUAACUCCGUGCCAGCAGCCGCGGUAAUUC